UCAGUUACUUUGUUAUACUGGUAUAAGCGUCCGUUCCUUCCAAUGACAAACACCACGUUCUCUCGGAGCAGUUUCUGGUCAACAAUGCUUGCAAUCUUCGUACUGGUUGGAUACCGACAAUCUUUCCAUUUGAACUUUCUCAGUGCAACCUAAGAAACAAGUUAUGACACUUUAGCCUUCAUUUUAUCAAUAUUCAGACUGGAAGCUUAGAAAUUUCAGGAUAUAUAUGCUUAGUGCCACUCAUUUUAGCCUUCAUUUUAUUAGGCUGAAAGCAUUCUUCGUAUAGUCACCUUUUGAACCUCUAAACUAGAAAAGUGGACAUAGUAUAUGUUUCCAGUUAUGGUUACCUUUUGAUCCACUUAAUUGCCUUGUAACUUUAUAGGAAGCUGGCGUGGACUGGAUCAUUCAUCUUGAUACUGAUGAGCUAAUGCAUCCAGCUGGAAGUCUGGAACUAGUGAGUAUUCUUUACCGAGACUUCUGGCAGAUAUACCUGAAGAUGAUGACAUGGUCAUAUUUCCUAACUAUGAGAGCAGUGUUGAGAGAGAUGAUGUGAAGGAACCUUUUAGUGAAGUCUCGAUGUUCAAGAAGAAUUAUGACCAUCUCACAAAAGAAAUGUACUUUGGAAACUACAAGGAAGCAACUCGUGGGAAAUGGAGGUGAUCAAAUUUGAAGGGUCGCCACAAGUCAAUUUGAUCUCAUUGAAGUGGAAGUGGAUAGUGAAGAGUUUUUGAACUAUUGUAAAAAUUUGAAUACAUUAUAUUUGAUUUUGUGAAAUAUUUUCAUUGCUAGAAUAUAUGUUGAACUAUU